rnacentral:rRNA from 1 species
UUGACGGGACCGCACAAGCGGUGGAUGAUGUGGAUUAAUUCGAUGCAACGCGAAAACCUUACCUACCCUUGACAUGUCCGGAAUCCCGAAGAGAUUUGGGAGUGCUCGCAAGAGAGCCGGAACACAGGUGCUGCAUGGCUGUCGUCAGCUCGUGUCGUGAGAUGUUGGGUUAAGUCCCGCAACGAGCGCAACCCUUGUCACUAGUUGCCAUCAUUUGGUUGGGCACUCUAGUGAGACUGCCGGUGACAAACCGGAGGAAGGUGGGGAUGACGUCAAGUCCUCAUGGCCCUUAUGGGUAGGGCUUCACACGUCAUACAAUGGUCGGUACAGAGGGUUGCCAAGCCGCGAGGUGGAGCCAAUCCCUUAAAGCCGAUCGUAGUCCGGAUCGUAGUCUGCAACCCGACUGCGUGAAGUCGGAAUCGCUAGUAAUCGUGGAUCAGCAUGUCACGGUGAAUACGUUCCCGGGUCUU